GCCUUGCAUGGGCGCGUCUACCCUGCAGCCAAUCAGCGGCUGCAGGGGCCUCUUCUACAGCCAAUCAGCGGCGGCACAGGCCUAUGCCGCAGCCAAUCAGUGCUGCAAACGCUCUUACCCAGCAGCCAAUCAAUGAGGCAGCUGCAACCAGGCAGGCAGGAGCGGCGCGCGGUGCGGUGGGAAUGUGGGUGUCCGCUUUCUUCUUGGAGAGGCUUUGAUGUUGGAUUCCAGACUCUGCCUCCCCCUCCCCAACACUCACUGCUCUCAGUUACCCUGGCAUCCUGGCCUCGGACUCACAGGACACGUUGAGCUGGAUGGUCCUCUCUGUGCUCACACCAGCUCCAGGGAAGGUCACUUGACAGAUGGAAACUCGAAUCCUGAGCCAGGGACCCUGCAGGGAAUUGAGGGUCAGUGGCAGCCCCUGCCUACCUGGCCUCCUCCCCUUGGCCCACUCACCUGUCCACAGCAGGGGAAACAGCAGUGGCAACAUCUUUGGGGUGCCUUUGUAAGAAGAGGGGAUUAGGACUCAGACACACAAACAGGAGACCAAGAGCACAGCGGGGAUCCGGCCACUCAUGAACCAAACACAGGGUUCUCAGAAGGAACUGGUUCUACCCACACCUCAAUCUCCAAUGUCUAGCUUCCAGAGCUGUGAGAAAAUGAACUUCUGUCAUGUAAGACACCAGGGCCCCAGGAAGAUAUAUCAGGAGCUUCCUCAGGCAGUCCAAAGUCUGGAUAGAAGGAGCUGGAGUAUCCAAAAGGAUGUUUCACUGGAUUGGGAUGGGCCCAGGAGCAUGGGAAGAACUUCCUGAGCACCCUUGGGGGCUCCCAGUAUGUCCUAUGAGCCCCUCAUGGGGCUCUCAGGGCAGGGUCCAGGGACAGAGUCUCCUAGCAGUACACUGGGGCCUCCCACAUUGGCCUGUGACUUCAGAGCCCACCAUUUUUUUGCUUCCUGCUCCUUCAUUCCCAUACUCUUCUGAGGUGAAUCCACUUCUCUUCUCACCUGUCUUGGCAUCCUGUCUUCCAAAGGCUGAGAAAUGCUUCCACCUUUCCUGUCCAUUCCCUGAUGGCCAGUCUGAGUAUGGACAAAACUACUGUUCCAGACACAGGCCAGCAUCUGGAAUGAGAGAUUUUGGGAUCUGCUGGCCAGGGCAGCUGGGAUAGGUGGACAGUGACGUGAGUGGCUGGGAACAAAAGGCGGCUCACAUGACAGAAAGUAGGCCAGAGUCACAGGGCACUUUGACUUUUCCCUUCUGCUGGGUUAUUGGGUUUAUUUGUCCUGAGAAGUAGGGCCCCAGUCUUCCCAGAGCAAAGCUCCUCCCAGCAUGAGGAGCCAAUGGAAAAUGCCUCAUCUUGUGUGGCUGUGAUGUAAGUAUGUAUGAAUGUGUUUGUUGUGUAUCUGUGGCAUGUGUGUCUCUGUAUUUGCAUGUGCCUUUAUGUCUGCAGUCUCUCUGUGUGUCUAUGCUGUGUGUGUAUUUCUUUGAUCUGUGUAUAUAUGUGUGUUCUGUGUUUGUGGUCUGUGUGUACGUCUGAGGUAUGUUUGUGUCUGUGUAUACGUGUGUGAGUGAUUUCUGUGUGUGUAUUUUGAGGUGUAUCAGUGUCUCUGUGUGUCUGUGUGUAUGUUUGAAGUGCAUGUGUGUCUGUGUCCUCUGUGUGUGCAUAAUCGAGUUGUGUAUGUGCGUCUGCAGAAGUGCCUGUGUGUAUAUUUAUGCAGACUCAAUUGUCAGUUUCUCAAUGAUAACAUCCAUGGACAACAUAACGAAGAGUAUAAUCCAUUUCAUAUUCCCUUUAUAUCUUUCUCUUUUGUUUUUCUUCAAAUUCCUUAUCAUGAAUCAACAUAACAUAGGGUCUACUUAAUUAUUCUUUGUCUCUCCUGCCAUUAAAACUAAGCUUCACAAGGGGUCGUGUAUUUCCCAUUUACUGCUGAAUCCACUCUGACUAUAAACAUCCUUGGCAUACAUUAGGUGAUCAAUGAAUAUUUAUUUUAAGAAUUGUAGGGCACCUGGCUGGCUCGGUCAGUGGAGGAUGUGACUCUUGACCUUGGGGUUAGGGGUUUGGGCCCCAUAC